UACGUAGGGGGCAAGCGUUGUCCGGAUUUAUUGGGCGUAAAGAGCGUGUAGGCGGCCUGACAAGUCUGCUGUGAAAACUCGAGGCUUAACCUCGAGAUGUCAUCGGAAACCAUCUGGCUAGAGUCCGGAAGAGGAGAGUGGAAUUCCUGGUGUAGCGGUGAAAUGCGCAGAUAUCAGGAGGAACACCGGUGGCGAAGGCGGGUCUCUGGGCAGUAACUGACGCUGGAGGAGCGAAAGCGUGGGGAGCGAACAGG
rnacentral:rRNA from 1 species